rnacentral:rRNA from 1 species
UACAGAGGGUGCGAGCGUUAAUCGGAAUUACUGGGCGUAAAGCGUGCGUAGACGGUAGCGUAAGUCAGAUGUGAAAGCCCCGGGCUCAACCUGGGAAUUGCAUUUGAGACUGCUCUGCUCGGGUGCGGAAGAGGGAAGCGGAAUUUCCGGUGUAGCGGUGAAAUGCGUAGAUAUCGGAAGGAACACCAGUGGCGAAGGCAAUCCCCUGGGCCUGCACUGACGCUCAUGCACGAAAGCGUGGGGAGCAAACAGG